AAAGAAUGUGUAUUCUGAUUUUGUGGGGUGGAACACUCUGUAAACAUCUAUUAAUUCCAUUUGUUCAAUAGCUUGGUUCAGUUUUAGAAUUUCAUUGUUAAUUUUUUGUCUAGAUGAUUUGUCUAUUUGUGAUAGUGGGGUAUUGAGGUCCCCCACUACAAUUGUAUUAGUGCUUAUUUGGUUUUUCAUGUCCAUUAAUAUUUGUUUUGUAUAGUUGGGGGCAUUCAUAUUUGGUGAAUAUAUAUUUAUGAUUGUCAUCUCUUCCUCUUGGAUUGUUCCCUUCACAAGGAUGUAGUGACCAUCUUUGUCUCUCUUAAUUAGUGUUUGAAAUCUACUUUGUUUGCAAAUAAGAUUGCUACUCCUGCUUUUUUCUGGGUUCCUGUGGCAUGGAGAACUGUUUGCCAUCCUUUUGUUUUUAGAGAAAUUCCUCAGCCAAGUUUCAAAGUUGAUAUUAAGUUGCUAUAAUAUUUUUUAUUCCAUAAAAGUUAUAUCUGCUAUGUUUUUCUGUCACUGUGGUCCUAUUAGUGCUAGUUAUUUAAUAUGAUUAACUGAUUUUGAAUAGAUUGUAACUUUUAAUGGCUUAUUAUUACUCUAUUUUUCUUCUCCUUAGAAUCUGUUAAAUGCACCUUGGUGUCAGCGAACAAAAUCUUUUUUUUACUUUAGAGUUGCGUGGAUCAGGAGCUGGAUUUUUUCACAUUUACUUCAUUUACAUAUGCAGUUCUUAACUGUAUGCCUCCCGCUCAGGCUGAAUAGAAACAUAUCUCAUGGCAGCUAUGUCCUGAGCUCUUCACACCUACAAGAAAUGUACAAGAGGAAGCCAAAACAUGGGUUUGGAGAAGAAAUGUACCUACCACACCCAGCAACACCUACAAGUCUGGAUGCCCAGCAACCACAAGAAACAUCCUGUACCACAACAGACCUUUCCCUUCCCAAGUUUCAACCUCCCCCCCUCCAGUCAAAACUUUCCACCCUCCCCCGAUGACCUACCUUCCCCUGAUGACCUCUCUUCCCCUACCCAAACCACCCUAUAAAAGUCUCUUCUUGCCCUGCCAUUGCUGUCACCUGUCUUUUCACUCUUGGCCCACCUACACCUAGGCUGAAAUAAACUCCGUUUGUUGCUUUAACUAUUCCUGACUUGGUGGUCUCAAUAGCACCU
rnacentral:lncRNA from 1 species